UUUCCAUUUCCGGUUUUAUUUUGGUAGCACUCCCGGUUUCUGUUUCUGUUUCGGCUUUACUUCCUGCUAAGUCACUCCACAGCUGUUCCCUGCCAUUACCGGUCAUUACCCACACCUGCAUGCGAUCAGUAAUCAGCUCAGUAUAUUUAAGCACCAGCUCUAGCCCUGCCCAGUUGCCAGAUUGUUUGUUCAUCCACCCGUGACAACUCUCCAGCGUCCUGCCUGAUGAAGAUGAAAAGACCACUUCUGCUGUGACAGGAUUGAACGAACAUUCCUGGGGAUUUAAAUGCGGGAAAUAAUACCUUUUUAAAUGCCUUGCUAGUUGCUAGCAAAGGAGCUGUACAAUAUCCAUCUUGUACAGCUCAACAGAUCAAAAAGAGUGACUUAGAGAUGGACCUUAUACAGCUCAAAACAGAGAAGAGACUGGCCAUCAAAAAGGUUAAACUUGAAAUUGAAAUCCUGGUGCAUCGCCUUAAGGUUAAGAUUUUAUCUGAACAUUAAUGUUACAAUUUGAAGUAUCGGUGUGUAAAGCAAUGUAAAUAAUAUUCAAUUUUUUGUUUCAGGACAUGAAGAAAUGAAGACCACUCUUGAUGCAGAAAAAAUUUAAUAAAAAUGAUUCUGACAAAUCAUCUGUCUUCCAUCUCUGUGGGCUACUUGGUUUACUGGAUCCUCUCGGUCAUCUUCAUCAGGACAAGCCACUAUAAUGUCACAUGCCCUCUCUGGACUGACCCUGAGGCCAAGUAGACACUGAACCUCGCCUUCAGGAUGCCUGAUUCAGAAUGUUAUCUUCACCUUGGCUCAUGUUCUGUUGUGGGCCUGGUUGAUCCGUGUCGGUGGUCCAGGCUCAGGUUAUCGGGGUAGAGUGUCAUCAAAUAGGGCAGACAAGGGAACCCUUUGUCCCCCAGAAAGUAGCUAUUGUAGUGUCCUGUAAAGAUUGAAAUGUGUACAACAAUAAAACAAUACAGUAAAAACAUGAACUUGUGUAAAUUACAACAUUCCUUGUUUAAACGUGUGGUAUAGUGAUGAUGCCCCGAAAACUCUGGAAUACCGACCCUGGCCAUUCCGCUUCCACAAAAGUGAUGAGAUGGGUUGCAUCACAUAUUACCUAGUAAUGAGUAACAAGUGUAAUGUUCUUUACACAAAAAAAUUCUGGGCAGGAAAUAAUACUGUAGUUACCUGCAAAUUGAUACUGUGAAACGAUUUCCUCCCUAAUUGACUGAAAGAGCUUUUAUAGGUACCAUUAAUGCACCCCAUCACAUUUGGA